GCUAAACGCGAAGAACCUUACCAAGGCUUGACAUAUACGAGAACGGGCCAGAAAUGGUCAACUCUUUGGACACUCGUAAACAGGUGGUGCAUGGUUGUCGUCAGCUCGUGUCGUGAGAUGUUCGGUUAAGUCCGGCAACGAGCGCAACCCUCGUCCUAUGUUGCCAGCACGUAAUGGUGGGAACUCAUGGGAUACUGCCGUGGUCAACACGGAGGAAGGUGGGGAUGACGUCAAAUCAUCAUGCCCCUUAUGUCUUGGGCUUCACGCAUGCUACAAUGGCCGGUACAAAGGGCUGCGAGACCGCAAGGUUUAGCGAAUCCCAAAAAGCCGGUCUCAGUUCGGAUUGGGGUCUGCAACUCGACCCCAUGAAGUCGGAGUUGCUAGUAAUCGUAGAUCAGCAACGCUACGGUGAAUACGUUCCCGGGUCUUGUACACACCG
rnacentral:rRNA from 1 species